GUCAAGUUCUAUCACCAUGAGCUCAACCUGCAGGGAGACAUCACCCUCAACAACAGACUGGCUGUGAGGAACACCCGCUUCCUCCAGCUGUGCUCGGGGGUGGAGGGCCGACUGAGGCCGCUGGUCUACACCAUCCGCUACUGAGCCAAGC